GGGACUAUGAGGGUUUGUAGUUUAAUUCCUGCUCUUGCAGGAUCAGUGAGUGUCUGUUUAAAGAUAAACCUCAUUAACAAACUUAAACCUCUGCUCCCCCACGACAUCACCAACACUUCUGCAGGACAGAACCCCCUGAUUUAAUCUACCAUAAUGCUCUCUGUUCUGUUGUCAUGGCAACAUGAAGUCAAAAAAUACAAAUACAAAAAUGCAAAAGAACAGGAGGACAACAAGACAGGCAGCUGGAAGAGCUUUUGAAGCAGGAAAACUUUUCUGGAUUUAUCUUAACUUAACUGGAAAUUUUGCUAAACAAGUCAAGCUGGAAACAAGGAGACAGCUGGUUGGAUUAUAUCUGAGGACAGGACGCAUGAAGGAGAAGCAUGAGGAGAGAGAAAACAGCAGAGAGAUGGUGUGGAGCUAAUCGUGGAUCAAGUCAAAGAAGCAAGCAUCAAAACUGGGAUGCCCCUCCUCCUUCCUGUCGUUCAGUCACUUGUCAACAAUCAGCUGAUUGCUCCCCUGCUCCUCAUGAGGUCUUCAUGCUGGCUUCUCAACAACCACAUCAUUGCAUCACCAAGACCUUUCAGCUUUUUCGGAUCCCUGCAAUCUUCUAUGACAGUGUCUGAGUGUGCCUUCAGACAGCCUGCAGUACCUCUGCCCGUCUCCUGGAGCCCACAGUGUUUAUCCUGUAUUCAUAACUAUCUGCAAAUAAAC